GUCUCAGUUCGGAUUGCGGGCUGCAACUCGCCUGCAUGAAGCUGGAAUUGCUAGUAAUCGCGGAUCAGCAUGCCGCGGUGAAUACGUUCCCGGGCCUUGUACACACCGCCCGUCACACCAUGAGAGUCGGGAACACCCGAAGUCCGUAGUCUAACCGCAAGGAGGGCGCGGCCGAAGGUGGGUCCGGUAAUUGGGGUGAAGUCGUAACAAGGUACC
rnacentral:rRNA from 1 species